rnacentral:lncRNA from 1 species
GUAAAUCUAGAAUGGUGCUAAAGAGUGGUUUAGACAUUCAAGCAAAAAUCAUAAGUUCAUAGUCCCCUUCUUGACUCAAUAAAAUUAUUUUUGAAAAGAUUUUUACAAAACUCAAGAAGAUGGUGUUAGUAUUACCUCCCCCAGACUUAAAUUACACCGUCUCGGUGUAAAGUGUCCAAAGGUGGUGGAAAAAAAAAGAAGUUAGAUGUUUGAGAUGUUAGAGCAAAAAAAAAAUCAUACCUCUCUGUCUCGCACAUCGAUCGAUACCAUCCACUCCAUGUCGAUCGAUGGCGAGAAACAAAAAAAACUCUCUGUCAUGUUUGGAGUCAAACUCAUGUCAUCUGUCAGUGUGGUUAGCUCUGUUUGACACUCCAAGCAUAAGUAAUAAGUAAACAGUCUCAAAUAAGGGAAAUAGAUAGAAAUGGCAGGACUAGUCGGUGUCCUCGGCGGUCUCGUCAUCGUCGCUCUUGGAUGAGGGGUCUCUGCGCUGCCUAUCACGUCCUGCAGCUGCUGGUGAGUGAGCUAUGAUGGACCUCCUGCUUGUACAAGAUACUCUAGCCCAUAUGGUGCGAAGAGCAUCCACAACUACCCUCUGAAAGUCUCCCUGAUCGCGCAUAGGGAUGUCCGGGAUGUGUGGGAAGU